UUGCGGGAAUCUAUUGUGUGUAUCCUUCCCAACUUCACACUUCAUGUUGGUAGCUUGAAAUAGACUAUGUGGGAUAUUUACACUAUGGAUAUUGACAAAGGCUACAAUUAUAAUAGUUCUUUCCCAUCCCCCUUUCCCUCCAAAUAUACACACCAGCUUGGGGAACCUAUUGGAAUACAUUUACCAACACAUCAUUGGUUGACUCCCAGAUUUGGUAUUUAGUGUUCAUAUUAUGAUUUUAUUCUAAAAUCUUAUUUCUUCUUUACUCUUCGGUUGUUUAGAAGUAUUUGUUAAAAUUUCCAGAUAUAUUAAAUUUGUUGUUGUUGCUUCUGGCUUUUAAUUUUAUUGUGAUGUGGUCUAUAGAAUGCUACUUCUUUGGCAUUUGUUAGGACGUGGUUGGUAGCAUACUAUAUGGUCAAUUUAUUAAUUUGUAAUUUUUUAAUUAAAAAAGGUUUUAGAGACAGGAUCUCGCUAUGUUUCCCAGGCUGGAGUGCAGUCACUAUUCACAGGCAAAAGCAUAGCACACUACAGCCCUUUAACUCCUGGGCUCA
rnacentral:lncRNA from 1 species